UACGUAGGUGGCAAGCGUUGUCCGGAUUUACUGGGUGUAAAGGGCGUGUAGCCGGGUUGACAAGUCAGAUGUGAAAUCCUGCGGCUUAACCGCAGAACUGCAUUUGAAACUGUUGAUCUUGAGUACUGGAGAGGCAGACGGAAUUCCUAGUGUGGCGGUGAAAUGCGUAGAUAUUAGGAGGAACACCAGUGGCGAAGGCGGUCUGCUGGACAGCAACUGACGGUGAGGCGCGAAAGCGUGGGGAGCAAACAGG
rnacentral:rRNA from 1 species